GUGCUCGCUUCAGCGGCAUGUAUACUAAAAUUGGAACGAUACAGAGAAGAUUAGCAUGGCCCCUGCACAAGGAUGACACGCAAAUUAGUGAAGCAUUCCAUAUUUAA
ensembl:snRNA U6 U6 spliceosomal RNA